CGCGACCCCAGGUCAGGCGGGACUACCCGCUGAGUUUAAGCAUAUCAAUAAGCGGAGGAAAAGAAACUUACCAGGAUUCCC
rnacentral:rRNA from 1 species